rnacentral:rRNA from 1 species
UACGUAGGCAGCAAGCGUUGUUCGGAGUUACUGGGCGUAAAGGGUGCGUAGGCGGCUCUAUAAGUCUGGUGUGAAAUCUCCCGGCUUAACUGGGAGGGUGCGCUAUAGACUGUGGGGCUAGAGUGUGGGAGAGGAAAGUGGAAUUCCUGGUGUAGCGGUGAAAUGCGUAGAUAUCAGGAGGAACACCGGUGGUGUAAACGGCUUUCUGGACCAUAACUGACGCUGAGGCACGAAAGCGUGGGUAGCAAACAGG